rnacentral:rRNA from 1 species
UAAGGAAUAUUGGUCAAUGGACGCAAGUCUGAACCAGCCAUGCCGCGUGAAGGAUGAAGGUCCUCUGGAUUGUAAACUUCUUUUAUCUGGGACGAAAACGGGAUUUUUAUCUCAAUUGACGGUACCAGAGGAAUAAGCACCGGCUAACUCCGUGCCAGCAGCCGCGGUAAUACGGAGGGUGCGAGCGUUAUCCGGAUUUACUGGGUGUAAAGGGUGCGUAGGUGGGCUUAUAAGUCAGUGGUGAAAUCUCCGAGCUUAACUUGGAAACUGCCGUUGAUACUAUAGGUCUUGAAUUAUCUGGAGGUUAGCGGAAUAUGUCAUGUAGCGGUGAAAUGCUUAGAUAUGACAUAGAACACCAAUUGCGAAGGCAGCUUACUACAUAUAAAUUGACGCUGAGGCACGAAAGCGUGGGGAUCAAACA